rnacentral:lncRNA from 1 species
GGGUGGAGCCUGGGUAGGGCGCCGCGCGCGGUGGGGCUCGUUCGGCGUCCUCUUAGCUCUGAGGCACGUGACGUUCGCUUCGGGCUGAUCCGCUGCAGCAUCCGCGGUGCUGGGCGUGGGGCGACGGGGUGGGAAGUGGCGCCGGCGCCGGCCGUGAAGCACGAGAAAAUCAUAAGUAUUCCAGAGAGUUUUUGGAAUCUUUCUUCUGAAAGAAGACCUUUCAAGGUGCAAUCCCCUUGUUUUAGUGGUCCAGAGAAGGGGAGCAACUUGCCCAAGGUCACACAGCCAGGUAAUUGGCAAAGCUGGAAAUUGAACCUAAUUCUUCUAACACUUUAUUUGGAGCUCUUUAAGCCCAUGCUAUUCUCUGGGUCCCUUAAGCUCUGACACAGUACUAGAAGUAAUAUUUUUUUCUUUUCAGACAUUACAUUCUCUUCUUUAAAUUCUCUUGUCUUCCGAUCCCAUUGUGAUAUGGGUGCUCCCCAAGGGACUUUCUGUCCUUAGACUUUUUCACUACAAGCUUUCCCUUGGCAAUACCUCUCUCCAAGCUUCUAAGCUUGUGCAGAUAAUUCCUUAAUUUAUAGCUCCAGACGCAUCUCCAAAUGCCUAAGGAAUAUCUUCACCUGGAUAUCCUACCUAGAACUCAACAUGUCCAAAAGCAAAUUAAUUAUAUCUUUACCAAAACAAUCUCCUGACUACUGGUUUGUAUCACCACUGUCUAUCUCGUUUUCCCUGAGGGCAGCAGUACUUUUGUACUGGCAGGUGUUGUUGAAUUUGUUGAAUUGAUUCAAAUUUUUGGAGUCAAUCAGUGACUAGGUUCUCUGGAAUCCAUUCUUGAACUCUUAGCCCUUUUCAGUCCUUCAUUCCAAUGCCAAAAUGAUUUUUGAAAAUAGAUCUGGUCAUGCCACACUUGUAACCAAAAGAUCUUUUAAGUGGCUAUUGCCUCCUGAGUAAACUUCAACAAAUAUUCCUGGUAUCCAAGACUCCAAGCCUGGAGUCUCCUCAUCUGCCUUCCCAGUUGUUCUCUAACAUGUUCUGAUUCCAGCCAAACUGGACAACUUUGUGCUCCUGAGCACAUAGUGCACUCAACUUUAUGCCUUUGUUGUAGUUGUUCCUCUUUCUCCCUAGUCAUCUUUUGAAAUCCUACCCAUCUUUUAAAAUCC